rnacentral:rRNA from 1 species
GACGAACGCUGGCGGCGUGCUUAACACAUGCAAGUCGAACGGAAAGGCCUGCUUUCCCUUGUGGAUUGCGGGUACUCGAGUGGCGAACGGGUGAGUAACACGUGAGUGAUCUGCCCCCAACUUGGGUAUAAGCCUGGGAAACUGGGUCUAAUUCCCGAUAGGACUGCAGGGUGGUGCCUGUGGUGGAAAACGAUUUUUUAGCGGUUGGGGAUGAGCUCGCGGCCUGUCAGCUUGUUGGUGGGGUAAUGGCCCACCGAGGCGGCGACGGGUAGCCAGCCUGAGAGGGUGGACGGCCACAUUAGGACUGAGAUACAGCCCAGACUCCUACGGGGGGCAGGAGUGGGGAAUGUUGCACCAUGGGCGGAAGCCUGAUGCAGCGACGCCGCGUGGGGGAUGACGGCCUUCGGGGUGUAAACGCCUUUCGGCCGCGAGGAAGCCACCUGGUUGGAAGGGUGGUGACGGUAGUGGUAGAAGAAGCACCGGCUAACUACGUG